rnacentral:rRNA from 1 species
GACGAACGCUGGCGGCGUGCUUAACACAUGCAAGUCGAACGGAAAGGCCCUGUUUUUGUUGGGUGCUCGAGUGGCGAACGGGUGAGUAACACGUGAGUAACCUGCCCUUGACUUUGGGAUAACUUCAGGAAACUGGGGCUAAUACCGGAUAGGUGCUCCUGCUGCAUGGUGGGGGUUGGAAAGUUUCGGCGGUUGGGGAUGGACUCGCGGCUUAUCAGCUUGUUGGUGGGGUAGUGGCUUACCAAGGCUUUGACGGGUAGCCGGCCUGAGAGGGUGACCGGCCACAUUGGGACUGAGAUACGGCCCAGACUCCUACGGGAGGCAGCAGUGGGGAAUAUUGCACAAUGGGCGGAAGCCUGAUGCAGCAACGCCGCGUGCGAGAUGACGGCCUUCGGGUUGUAAACCGCUUUCGCCUGUGACGAAGCGUGAGUGACGGUAAUGGGUAAAGAAGCACCGGCUAACUACGUG